ensembl:snRNA U1 U1 spliceosomal RNA
AUGCUUACCUGGCAGGGGCGACACCAUGAUCACGCAGGUGGUGUGCCCGGGGCGAGGCCCAGUCACUGCACUCCGGCUGUGCUGAGCCCUGCGAAUUCCCCCAGUGUGGGAAUCUCGACUGCAGCAGAGGGGGACUGCGUUCACGCUCUCCCCUG